CUUUUUUUGUUGUUUUUUUA
rnacentral:sRNA from 1 species